CAAAAUUUAAAAAACAAAGAAAUUUGAAGUAGGCCUGAUCGCGCUCUAAUGCGAAAGGAAGGGACCAAUCGUGCAAAUUGACCAUUUAAAGUGAAAAGACGCGGAUCCGGGUCUCCAAGCGGGUUGACGUGCGGACCCCCUCCUUUAACGGCAUCGUUUUUUAUUUUGAUGCUAAAAUCCUUAUUCCCAUUUAUUUUCUUUUCAAAACGCAGAUGAAAGACAGAACCCCUGCUCUGUGAGGGCUUUUUCAUCGUGCAGCCACUAACCUCCAUCAAUUUGAUGGCCAAUGGCGCGGAUAAUGGCCGGAUCUUGCCAACGGAGGCCACGACCUUGGAGAUCUGGUAACCUCGCUCCCUUUUUUUCUCUUUUUUUUUUAAAAUGUGAAUCUUAUGCUAUUCUUUCAAAAAAACGAAAUAAGUUUUGAAGAUUUAAACAAAUCUUUAACACCGCUCGACCCUCGCCCACAUCUAUGCAUCUCUGAGAUGUUUGGGCUUUCAUUGGCGUCGAUUCGGGUCCCUCUUCAUGUGUUCGUGCUAAAAUUGCAAACCAAUCAAAAGAAAUAAAAAAAAAAUUGGAAAUCACCUUUCAAACUUUUGGCUUGUUUUUUAAUAUCUGGUGUGCGUAAGUGUUUACAGAGAUAAAAUCAACAGCCUUUUAUAGCCAGAUUUUCUUAGAAUAAAUAAAAAUAAAAAUUACAUUUAUUUGCUGUAUUUUGUUAGUGGCUCUUCUGGUGUAUUCUUUUGCAGAUUCAGCCGUACGGAGGAGCAAUGAGACGCGCGAAGGAGGCCGUGCGAGGAGCCUCUCCUGGGAGCCCAACUCUCUGGCAUUUCAGAAGCUUUUGGUGCUAUCGACUGCUGUGCUUCUUUUUGGGUGUAUUGGGCCUCGGGUUUGGGCUAUUGGAAUUGGGUUUUAGGGUUUAUUUAAUUGGGUCGGAUUUUAUGUAAUUGGGUUAAUGGAUUUUGGGUGUUUGUUUAUGCUAUUAUUUUUGGGCUAAAUGAAUUGUAAAUGGACUUUAGAUCCAUAAACAUUUUAAUUUAUUAUUUUAUUUCUGUUUGGUUUAUUAUUAUUUUUGCGUUUGGGUUUUUUUUCUGUUUUUUGGGUUUUCAUGGGCCCGGACAAAUUAGGCCUAUUACAGCUGCCCCUCUUUGCUCAUUAUCGUGCAACGGGAAUAGAGCAAAGACUUCAAAAGGAC
rnacentral:lncRNA from 1 species